GUCGGUGGGAUACUACCCUGGCUGUAUUGAAAUUCUAACCCGCGCCCCUGAUCGGGGCGGGAGACAGUGUCAGGUGGGCAGUUUGACUGGGGCGGUCGCCUCCUAAAAAGUAACGGAGGCGCCCAAAGGUUCCCUCAGAAUGGUUGGAAAUCAUUCGCAGAGUGUAAAGGCACAAGGGAGCUUGACUGCGAGACCUACAAGUCGAGCAGGGACGAAAGUCGGGCUUAGUGAUCCGGUGGUUCCGCAUGGAAGGGCCAUCGCUCAACGGAUAAAAGCUACCCCGGGGAUAACAGGCUUAUCUCCCCCAAGAGUCCACAUCGACGGGGAGGUUUGGCACCUCGAUGUCGGCUCAUCGCAUCCUGGGGCUGUAGUCGGUCCCAAGGGUUGGGCUGUUCGCCCAUUAAAGCGGUACGCGAGCUGGGUUCAGAACGUCGUGAGACAGUUCGGUCCCUAUCCGUCGUGGGCGCAGGAAAUUUGAGAGGAGCUGUCCUUAGUACGAGAGGACCGGGAUGGACGCACCGCUGGUGUACCAGUUGUCUUGCCAAAGGCAUCGCUGGGUAGCUAUGUGCGGAAGGGAUAAGUGCUGAAAGCAUCUAAGCAUGAAGCCCCCCUCGAGAUGAGAUUUCCCAUAGCGUCAAGCUAGUAAGAUCCCUGAAAGAUGAUCAGGUUGAUAGGUCAGAGGUGGAAGCGUGGCGACAUGUGGAGCUGACUGAUACUAAUCGAUCGAGGACUUAACCAAAAA
rnacentral:rRNA from 1 species